UAUCGAGCGCUGCGGGAGGGCUGAGGCGAAAAGCCCGACGCCUCCCGUACCUCAAACCCCUUGCAAGAGCGUAAAACUUGUUGCUUUGGCGCGCUGGCCUCGCGGCCACCGCCAGAAGGUUGCGAAACUCGUCUCAACCGUGAAGUCAGAGCCAUACCGAAAAAAUUUUUAAAACUUUCAACAACGGAUCUCUUGGUUCUCGCAUCGAUGAAGAACGCAGCGAAAUGCGAUAAGUAAUGUGAAUUGCAGAAUUCAGUGAAUCAUCGAAUCUUUGAACGCACAUUGCGCCCUUUGGUAUUCCGAGGGGCAUGCCUUUUCGAGCGUCAUGAGCAACAACAAUCAAGCUUUGCUUGGAAUUGAGCGCACGGAGACAGGUGCACUUCAAAGCAGAGGUAAAUGGCGUGGUCCGUAGGCCGGUAUAAGGUGCGGUCUGUUGGCCGUUCUGGCGCCGGUCGGCUCGCGCGGGAUGCCAGGUAUUGUACGCAGUCGCCUAGGCGGCCCGGCGGGCUAGGGUUCUUCGGCCCAGUAACUGCUAGUCUAGAACAGAAGGAAGCUAGACGUUGGACCUCGAAUAAGGUAGGGAUACCCGCUGAACUUAAGCAUAUCAAUAAGCGGAGGAAAAGAAACCAACAGGGAUUGCCUCAGUAACGGCGAGUGAAGCGGCAACAGCUCAAAUUUGAAAUCCGGCUCCUGUGGGAGCCUGAGUUGUAAUUUGGAGAGGAUGCUUCGGCUGAGGCCCUGGUCUAAGUUCCUUGGAACAGGACGUCACAGAGGGUGAGAACCCCGUAUGUGGUCAGGGAUCGACGCCGUGUGAAGCUCCUUCGACGAGUCGAGUUGUUUGGGAAUGCAGCUCUAAAUGGGAGGUAUAUUUCUUCUAAAGCUAAAUACCGGCGAGAGACCGAUAGCGCACAAGUAGAGUGAUCGAAAGAUGAAAAGCACUUUGGAAAGAGAGUUAAAAAGUACGUGAAAUUGUUGAAAGGGAAGCGCUUGCAACCAGAUAUGCGCGCAGUUGUUUAGCCGGGCUUCCUGCCCGGUGCACUCUUCUGCGUGCAUGCCAGCAUCGGUUUGGGCGGCCAGAUAAAGGCCGUGGGAAUGUAGCUCCUCUCGGGGAGUGUUAUAGCCCGCGGCGGAAUGUGGCCAGCCUAGACCG
rnacentral:rRNA from 1 species